GAUGACUCUCACCAUCUCUACUCUGGAGGACAUGGCUGCUUUCUGGCAGUGACCGCUGCCCACAAAUAUGGAUGUGCGCUCUACCAUAAUUUCCCCUUACAGAAGAAGAACAAAGACUAAUGGAAGGAGAGUCCAACACGGAAGAUACAUUGCUUCUGCAGUUCAAGUCCAUUUUGCUGUAGGUCACCUAUGGGCCCAGCCACCUUCCUGACUUGUCAUCAGCUUUUCUCUGUGUUGUCAGGCCCAGGUCAGGACACCUGGCUCCUCACAGUCACCGAGUCUCAAACCCAG
rnacentral:lncRNA from 1 species